rnacentral:rRNA from 1 species
GCAGGUCAGCAUACUGCCGUGAAUACGUUCCCGGGCCUUGUACACACCGCCCGUCACACCAUGAGAGUUGGGGAUACCCGAAGCCUGUGAGCCAACUAUAUAGAGGCAGCAGUCGAAGGUAGAAUCAAUGAUUGGGGUGAAGUCGUAACAAGGUAAC